UAAUCUAUAAUAAUAAAAAUCUCUCAAGAAAAGUCUUUUAGAUUAAAUGGUCCAUACAUUUGUGAAUUCCUUAUCGUUGUUCCCUUGAGGAUUAUUAUAAAAGGGUCACCAUAUAAGCUUAUUUUUUAUUAAUUAAACACCUCAUCAUAUACAACAUAUAUCUUGUAAUAAAUAAAUUCCUUUUCCACCACAUAUCUUUUGAAGCCAUGAAUCACAAAGCAUUCGCUUUACUAUUCAUAACCUUUUUCGUCUUUAUUUUUUGUCUAUCCUCAACAAACUCCAGGAGAUUGUCAGAAGGAAAUGUACCCUAUGAUCCAUUACACAAAGAACCAAUAUGCAAGAAGUAUAUCCUUGGCAAAUGUAUAGCCACUAAAAAACCGCCCAUUGCAUUAAAACCAGCACCACGUGCUGCAAAACCUUGCCUUCCGCCUCUCAAAAAUUGCAAUGGAAAACCAUAGAAGCAUAUCGGAAUUCGGUGGAUAAAAUAUUUCGCAUUAGCAGAUCCGAGAAAGUGAUGCAUCAUUUUAUGAUAUUUCUAUAAAUUACACUAUAUAUAUAGAUAUGUGUGCGAGUGUACACGUUAUGUGUGUUUAAUUUAUUUUCAGUAUUGUAAUACUAUUGUAUUUUGUUUCGGAAUUUCUGAAUAAUGUAACAGUCUAUGUACACUCGUUGUUUGUAUUAUAUCAAUAAAUAAAGAGAAAAAACAUCUUUUACC